rnacentral:lncRNA from 1 species
GGCUUGUUCUCGGCUGUGCUGAAAGGAUUUUUCCUAAAACUUCACUUGACAUUGAUGAUGAUGGAGAUAAUCUGCAAGGAGGAAGAGGAGAGAGUUUCUGAGCCAGAGCAGGUCAUUCCGGGGCUGUCCACUUAAAUAAAGCCCUGGCUUAGAAAACCCCAAACACGCUAAAGUGGAUACUGUAAUGGGAUUUAUGCAAUACUCUGUUAAGGGCAAACCCAGCCCCAUAAAUACAUGUCUGAAAUUCAAUCUGCCAAAUGAAACGUUAAAGGCGCCAAAUGGAUUUCUCGAAAGGAUCAGAGCUACGAUGUAGUUUGCCUGCACUUGAUAAGCUUAUCCAGCCUUGCCGCCAGGAAAGAAAAAGAGCGAGAGAGAGAGAGACAGAGCGCGCGGGGGUGGGAGGAGGAAAUGGAGUUAAGGAUUUUACUGUAUUCUCCAGUAUCUUAGAUAUUUUCUUUUUCAAUGAAAAAGGGAGAAAGAGAUGAUCAGACUUCUGGCUGUGAAACCAGUGUUCCUGAUCCUGACUACAUCCUGGGCUGCAGAGGGACUGCUAUUAAAUCUCUAGCUGGAGCCCCAGCUCCAUCCCUCCAACCCCAAAGCCUCCUCGACAGGGCUCCUUCCAUACCUGGUCAGCUCCGAUACCUGGGCCCCGCACCCAGGUGACCCACAUCAUGUCACGGCUGGACGGGCACGUGGGCCAGCUCAAGUCCCCAUCCCCAAGUUCCGCCUUUGACUUCAGCAGCUGCCACCAAGUGUAUUUGUGAGUGACGAAGUGAGUUAGGUGGAGAAAAGUAGUUAAGACUGUGCAUCAUUCUAGACACUUCCUUCUGGCCCCUCCCCCUUCUCAUGUUUUAUGAUUGUCCCUCCUCCACUAGGGACAUACCAUCUCCUGCAAGGGGUUUGGAUUGUCCUAUUUUUUCCAAAGGAGGGGAUAGCGUAAUAGCUCAGGAUCUCAAAAGAUGUUUCUGGUACUGUCGGAGGCACGCCAAAGCUAUGUGGCACAUGAGAGCUUUUCACGUUCUUCCAAGCCCAGGAGAGUUGCUUCUGGCAUCGGCAUGUGACCCCAGAGAGUCACUUUCAGGGUGACAGCGUGCUUCAAAGAACAUGCCAUCUUGGUGGGUACGUGAGUCAGUGAGUGUUGUGAGGGGGUGAAUUUGCUCUCAGCAUGGCAAGUUUCCUCUUCCUCUUCGAUUUCCCGCGGAUGGACUCGCCUUCGCCACAUGCUCUCACUCUCCAUUCCGCUUGGGCCAAGGCCUUGGCGAGCCCGGUGGCCUGGGGUUGGGGUGGAGCUCGCGGCUGUGGGUCGUGGAGGCAUCUUCCGAGGCAUCGCCCUGCUGGGCCCGGAUGAUGCUCUGACCACAGAUGAAUUCGGUCCUUGGUGGACAAUCGAGGACCUGCUCCUGCCGGUUUACUCCCCUCCCUUGGCGAGUCACUUGAGAGUGAGGAGUUCCCGUCGUGGCGCAGUGGUUAACGAAUCUGACUAGGAACCAUGAGGUUGCGGGUUCGGUCCCUGCCCUUGCUCAGUGGGUUAAGGAUCCGGCGUUGCUGUGAGCUGUGGUGUAGGUUGCAGACGCGGCUCGGAUCCCGCGUUGCUGUGGCUCUGGGGUAGGCCCGUGGCUACAGCUCCGAUUCAACCUCUACCCUGGGAACCUCCAUAUGCCGCGGGAGCGGCCCAAAGAAAU